AUUGAACGCUGGCGGAAUGCUUUACACAUGCAAGUCGAGCGGCAGCACGGGGGCAACCCUGGUGGCGAGCGGCGAACGGGUGAGUAAUACAUCGGAACAUGCCCAGUCGUGGGGGAUAACACUUCGAAAGAAGUGCUAAUACCGCAUACGUCCUGAGGGAGAAAGCGGGGGAUCGCAAGACCUCGCGCGAUUGGAGUGGCCGAUGUCAGAUUAGCUAGUUGGUGGGGUAAAGGCCUACCAAGGCAACGAUCUGUAGUUGGUCUGAGAGGAUGAUCAGCCACACUGGGACUGAGACACGGCCCAGACUCCUACGGGAGGCAGCAGUGGGGAAUUUUGGACAAUGGGGGCAACCCUGAUCCAGCCAUUCCGCGUGAGUGAAGAAGGCCUUCGGGUUGUAAAGCUCUUUCGGCAGGAACGAAACGGUGAGCUCUAACAUAGCUCGCUAAUGACGGUACCUGAAGAAGAAGCACCGGCUAACUACGUG
rnacentral:rRNA from 1 species